GUCAUCCAGAUUGAGGAGGACAUUGAUGCAGAAGAGUCGCAGGCAGGUGGAAGCAUUUCACCAAGAGCUUAUAUUGGAACAACAUGGUGAUAGAUCAACAUAUAUAAAAUGCUGAGCUGGUACAGAUUUUUAAGGGCCCAGCAAGUGUGGCAUGAUAUGCUCAACUUGAGUAAGGAAUUUUUCUGUUCAACUGUGAGAGACUGAUCUAAUCAGUGGGAUGCCAAACUGAUCGAGAUUUAAUUAGUUUACGACAGGGAUCUACUCUCCACUCAUAUUUGCAACUCUUGAUAUUUGACAAGAUGAAAAUCAGCAAUGUUGUCCUCUUAAUGCAAGCUAAGAUGAAUCUAGAGAUCUGGUCGAGACAAUAAUGAAUCACUGAGUUUAGGUAACUUCUUUUUCUAUAAGCGACUGCUGUAGGCAAUCUUUGCAAUAUGUAUUAAAGGUUGGUCUUAUGGGAUUUGAACUUUUGAAGGUGCAGUCUCCUAAUUACAUGCACACAAUGAUCCAUGUAGAAUGCAUUGUAAAGUGCUUUCAAGAAGAUUUUGGAUUUUUGGUAGCAGCCUUGCAUGGUGUAUUACAUCCCAAGUUUCUGGUCAAUUCUCAGCAUUACCAGAAGCAGUUUGGAAGUGCCAACAUGGAUUCUGCAUCGUACAUCUGCAUAACAAUGUGAGUAAACUGUUUUUCUUUGUUCUGUUGUAGUUUGUCAUUGCAAUUGUUUCUUCCACAAUUACUGUAGGUCUUU